AAGUCGUAACAAGGUUUCCGUAGGUGAACCUGCGGAAGGAUCAUUAAACAUAUUACGGGGGCCGGAUCCCAAGGCGCAUGUACCCCAUGCGCCUUGCCCUGCCCUGUCUGAAUAUUUCACCCAUGUUUUUUGCGUACUAUUUGUUUCCUUGGUGGGCUUGCCUGCCAGUAGGACAUCAUAAACCCUUCUGUAAUUGCAAUCAGCGUCAGAUAAAAAAUUUAAUAAAUUAAAACUUUCAACAACGGAUCUCUUGGUUCUG
rnacentral:misc_RNA from 1 species